rnacentral:rRNA from 1 species
GAUUAACGCUGGCGGCGUGCAUAACACAUGCAAGUCGAACGAUGAAGAUUAUUAGACUUCUUCGGAAUGAAAAUAAUUGGAUUAGUGGCGGACGGGUGAGUAACGCGUGAGUAACCUGCCUUACACAAGGGGAUAGCCGUUGGAAACGACGAAUAAUACCCUAUGAAACUAUCACUUCGCAUGAAGCGAUAGUCAAAGUGUUAGCGGUGUAAGAUGGACUUGCGUCUGAUUAGCUAGUUGGUGAGAAAAAAGCCCACCAAGGCAACGAUCAGUGGCCGGCUUGAGAGAGUGUACGGCCACAUUGGGACUGAGACACGGCCCAGACUCCUACGGGAGGCAGCAGUGGGGAAUUUUGCACAAUGGGGGAAACCCUGAUGCAGCGACGCCGCGUGAUUUAGAAGGCCUUCGGGUUGUAAAAAUCUUUUGUAUAGGAAGAAAAUGACAGUACUAUACGAAUAAGGUCCGGCUAAUUACGUG